AUCCUUAAAUGUUCUAUUCUUCAUGUGGUACUCUUCUCAAGAGGGAGGCAAUCAUGUGUAAUUAGAUAUGAUUGACACCUCUGUGAGUAGAGUAACACAUGGUAUUUCCAU
ensembl:miRNA MIR514B microRNA 514b